AGUGAAAUAGCUGGGUCAAAAUGGUGAUUCCAUUCCCAGCUUUCCAAGGAAUCUCCAUACUGCUUUCCAGUUUGGCUGCACCAAUUUGCAGUCCCACCAGCAAU
rnacentral:pre_miRNA from 1 species